rnacentral:rRNA from 1 species
ACGCUCGACACCUACGGGAGCAGCAGUCGGGAAUAUUGCGCAAUGGAGGAAACUCUGACGCAGUGACGCCGCGUGCAGGAAGAAGGUUUUCGGAUUGUAAACUGCUUUAGACAGGGAAGAAAGAAAUGACAGUACCUGUAGAAUAAGCUCCGGCUAACUACGUACACGCAGCCGCGGUAAUCUGAGCGGGCGUGGCAAGGC